AAUCACCGGACCAGUUGUACAGAUACUACAGACUUUGUGGGAAACAUUUUGAACCAUCUUUGAUUCAAAGUGAGACUCAGAGUGCAGUGUUGAAGGAUGACGCCAUACCACAAUCUUUGAUGCGCCAAGCCAACCUCAGAAUGUGCAGGUGAAGCGCAGUAAAGAGACGACCAAAGAUGACGAAACAGAGAGUACGGGGAGAAAA